UUGUUGAGAAAGCUUCUCCUAGAGUUAAGAGAAAAGAAAAGAAUGAUUAGAACAAGGGUUUAAAAGAUUCAUGAAUGCAAAGGGUAGAGUUAAGUUCUUAUGUUGGGAUUGGAGAUGGGAUUACCAUUAGAGCUUCAUUUGAUAUACUCUGGGUAGAUGGGAUCUUAUCUCUGUAUGCAUAGCUUGGGACUUACCUUUAGCAUUCUACUAAAGCUUAAUCAUUUUUCUUGAGAGAUCCCCUGUUACUGAAGCCUAUUCUGUAAGGGACCAUCUUUGUUUCUUGACCUUUUACCUUAGCCAAAUGAGUUCAUUGAUGAUGCAUUUCUUGAUUCACGUUCCAGAACUAAUAAAUGUUAUAGGGAUUGGUAGAUUUGAAAAUAUGUGUAGGUCGAGCAUAUGAGUCAGAUUGAUUGAUAAUGAGGCAUGGCUAACGUUUUUAAGUAGAAUUCGAUCUUGCAGCUUAGAACUUUCAACUUGGACAUUGAUUUCAUCUGGUCUAUCUGGUGCUUUGGCUCUAAGUCCCCGCUUUCAAACCUCACCUCCAGCUUGUUCUUGAUUGUUUGCUUGAGGGCAAGCAAAGACUAAGUUUGGGGGAGUUGAUAAGUGUGUAUUUUGCAUGUUUUGAGCAUCCAUUUGUCAUCACUGUUUUAUACCAUUUCUCAUCAUUUGUCAUCACUUUACAUGUUUAGGAUAGAUUUGCAUGCAUGUUGCAUAUUUGCGUUGAUUUCAUGUGAUUUGGAGCUGUUGACGAGCUAUCUGGAAGAAGCGGGCCUGAUCAUGUCAAACCACUCGACCCCGAGGUCGAGUAGAAGCUUCAAGAUCUCAAUAGAUCACUCGACCCCCUGGUCGAGUAGAGGACAUCACUACUUGAUCACAUCACUCGACCCCGAGGUCGAGUGUCUUCAUCCCAUCACCUGACAAUAACUCGAUCACAUCACUCCACCCCGAGGCCGAGUGUCUUCACCUUCAUUGCCAGAACACUACUCGACCUCUUCACUCUACCUGGAAGUCGAGUAUCACCAUCACCACCACUCGACUGCAUACUCGAUGACAAGCUUCAGAGCCUUCUUCAUUCCGGACUCAACCAGACACUCGAGCACAAGGAAGAAAAGAAGACUCCAGUUAUUCACUCGACCACCCACUCAACCACAUGGGUCGAGUACAGUUCUUAAUCCGUCCUAAUACUGCGUCGUUUUAAGUAUUAGGGUUUCAGAAUAUUUGGCUAUAAGUAGCAUGUACUUCACAUUUUCGCAGACAAGUUUUUAUCUAGUUUUAUUUCCGCAGACCUUAUGUUCUAGACCUUUUGUAAUCCAGAUUUCUCUUUAUCUAUUCAGUAUUCAGUAUUCAGCUUUUGUUCUUGAUUUCGUUUACUGUUGUUCAUUCUGUUAUCAUCCUGCUGUUACACUGUUGUUAUCAUGUUUUCAUCUUGUUCAACGUUUUUGUUCUCCGCAAUGAUGUCUGAGUAGUGAAUAGGUUUCUGAGGAUGGGUUAGAGUAGUGUAGAAUUCUCAGUAUGCUAGGUGAUUGAGUAUUGAUUGAUAGAUCCCUUCUGGAUUAGUUAUUCUUAAUGCCUAUUGCUUUCUGAUCAACCAGAAUUUGAGCCCAGACAUUUCCGCGCCCAAAAGGUGUUCGAUGAAAUGUCUGAACCAAUAAUUCCAGAGAUUCGUGACCAUGUACCAAGGUAUUGGUUGCAGGGAGCGUUUUGGCUUUAACUUGUUGAUUCGUAAUGCCUGUUAGGUUAGCUCUCGUCAAUGGUGAUUGAGUCUGGGACUAGGUUAACUUGAGAGUCUCUGUUGCGGUGGCACUUAGAUUUGGUUAAUGAACUUGUUGUCUAGGGUUAAUUUAUUGAGCAUGUCAAUCACCUGUAAACUGAGGAAACGAAACUACUCAAUUAAACCAUCCUCGGGAAUUCUUUAUCUGAUUGAAUUCUUUGUUUACUCUACUGUUGUUUACUGCAUCUUGUCAUCUGUUGCUUAGUUUCUGCAAUUCUUUACUGUUACUCGACCUGAUACUCGACCACCCAGUUGUCUGGCAACAGACUGUGCAGUCGAGUAUCCCUGUUAUAUUUUCUGUCUAUUACUCGACCUGUCACUCGACCUCACCCAGUGCUUUGCAAAGAGCUGUGUUGGUCGAGUGUUUUAUUGUUUCUGCUUGAAUUUUUGUUUACUACAUGUUCACUUAGAACUGCUAGAACACACCAAAACCUGUUAUUGCUUGGCUUGACUUAGUGACUUCUGAUCACAUCUUGAUUGUUAGCAUCACACCCAUUUGGAUUGACAACCUAAAAUAUUACAACGAUAUGAUUGGUGUUUUAGGAUAAUUGACUAAAAACCUAUUAUCAGUUAU
rnacentral:sRNA from 1 species